rnacentral:tRNA from 1 species
AUACCGCUAGUAUAAUUGGAAGUAUUCUGUCUUUCCAAGUCAGGAGUCCGCAAAUGCGGGUGGUAUA